rnacentral:rRNA from 1 species
GGGUUGUGAGGUUAAGCGACUAAGCGUACACGGUGGAUGCCCUGGCAGUCAGAGGCGAUGAAGGACGUGCUAAUCUGCGAUAAGCGUCGGUAAGGUGAUAUGAACCGUUAUAACCGGCGAUUUCCGAAUGGGGAAACCCAGUGUGAUUCGUCACACUAUCAUUAACUGAAUCCAUAGGUUAAUGAGGCGAACCGGGGGAACUGAAACAUCUAAGUACCCCGAGGAAAAGAAAUCAACCGAGAUUCCCCCAGUAGCGGCGAGCGAACGGGGAGGAGCCCAGAGCCUGAAUCAGUGUGUGUGUUAGUGGAAGCGUCUGGAAAGGCGCGCGAUACAGGGUGACAGCCCCGUACACAAAAAUGCACAUGCUGUGAGCUCGAUGAGUAGGGCGGGACACGUGGUAUCCUGUCUGAAUAUGGGGGGACCAUCCUCCAAGGCUAAAUACUCCUGACUGACCGAUAGUGAACCAGUACCGUGAGGGAAAGGCGAAAAGAACCCCGGCGAGGGGAGUGAAAAAGAACCUGAAACCGUGUACGUACAAGCAGUGGGAGCACAGAGCAAUCUGUGUGACUGCGUACCUUUUGUAUAAUGGGUCAGCGACUUAUAUUCUGUAGCAAGGUUAACCGAAUAGGGGAGCCGAAGGGAAACCGAGUCUUAACUGGGCGUUAAGUUGCAGGGUAUAGACCCGAAACCCGGUGAUCUAGCCAUGGGCAGGUUGAAGGUUGGGUAACACUAACUGGAGGACCGAACCGACUAAUGUUGAAAAAUUAGCGGAUGACUUGUGGCUGGGGGUGAAAGGCCAAUCAAACCGGGAGAUAGCUGGUUCUCCCCGAAAGCUAUUUAGGUAGCGCCUCGUGAAUUCAUCUCCGGGGGUAGAGCACUGUUUCGGCAAGGGGGUCAUCCCGACUUACCAACCCGAUGCAAACUGCGAAUACCGGAGAAUGUUAUCACGGGAGACACACGGCGGGUGCUAACGUCCGUCGUGAAGAGGGAAACAACCCAGACCGCCAGCUAAGGUCCCAAAGUCAUGGUUAAGUGGGAAACGAUGUGGGAAGGCCCAGACAGCCAGGAUGUUGGCUUAGAAGCAGCCAUCAUUUAAAGAAAGCGUAAUAGCUCACUGGUCGAGUCGGCCUGCGCGGAAGAUGUAACGGGGCUAAACCAUGCACCGAAGCUGCGGCAGCGACACUAUGUGUUGUUGGGUAGGGGAGCGUUCUGUAAGCCUGCGAAGGUGUGCUGUGAGGCAUGCUGGAGGUAUCAGAAGUGCGAAUGCUGACAUAAGUAACGAUAAAGCGGGUGAAAAGCCCGCUCGCCGGAAGACCAAGGGUUCCUGUCCAACGUUAAUCGGGGCAGGGUGAGUCGACCCCUAAGGCGAGGCCGAAAGGCGUAGUCGAUGGGAAACAGGUUAAUAUUCCUGUACUUGGUGUUACUGCGAAGGGGGGACGGAGAAGGCUAUGUUGGCCGGGCGACGGUUGUCCCGGUUUAAGCGUGUAGGCUGGUUUUCCAGGCAAAUCCGGAAAAUCAAGGCUGAGGCGUGAUGACGAGGCACUACGGUGCUGAAGCAACAAAUGCCCUGCUUCCAGGAAAAGCCUCUAAGCAUCAGGUAACAUCAAAUCGUACCCCAAACCGACACAGGUGGUCAGGUAGAGAAUACCAAGGCGCUUGAGAGAACUCGGGUGAAGGAACUAGGCAAAAUGGUGCCGUAACUUCGGGAGAAGGCACGCUGAUAUGUAGGUGAAGCGACUUGCUCGUGGAGCUGAAAUCAGUCGAAGAUACCAGCUGGCUGCAACUGUUUAUUAAAAACACAGCACUGUGCAAACACGAAAGUGGACGUAUACGGUGUGACGCCUGCCCGGUGCCGGAAGGUUAAUUGAUGGGGUUAGCGCAAGCGAAGCUCUUGAUCGAAGCCCCGGUAAACGGCGGCCGUAACUAUAACGGUCCUAAGGUAGCGAAAUUCCUUGUCGGGUAAGUUCCGACCUGCACGAAUGGCGUAAUGAUGGCCAGGCUGUCUCCACCCGAGACUCAGUGAAAUUGAACUCGCUGUGAAGAUGCAGUGUACCCGCGGCAAGACGGAAAGACCCCGUGAACCUUUACUAUAGCUUGACACUGAACAUUGAGCCUUGAUGUGUAGGAUAGGUGGGAGGCUUUGAAGUGUGGACGCCAGUCUGCAUGGAGCCGACCUUGAAAUACCACCCUUUAAUGUUUGAUGUUCUAACGUUGACCCGUAAUCCGGGUUGCGGACAGUGUCUGGUGGGUAGUUUGACUGGGGCGGUCUCCUCCUAAAGAGUAACGGAGGAGCACGAAGGUUGGCUAAUCCUGGUCGGACAUCAGGAGGUUAGUGCAAUGGCAUAAGCCAGCUUGACUGCGAGCGUGACGGCGCGAGCAGGUGCGAAAGCAGGUCAUAGUGAUCCGGUGGUUCUGAAUGGAAGGGCCAUCGCUCAACGGAUAAAAGGUACUCCGGGGAUAACAGGCUGAUACCGCCCAAGAGUUCAUAUCGACGGCGGUGUUUGGCACCUCGAUGUCGGCUCAUCACAUCCUGGGGCUGAAGUAGGUCCCAAGGGUAUGGCUGUUCGCCAUUUAAAGUGGUACGCGAGCUGGGUUUAGAACGUCGUGAGACAGUUCGGUCCCUAUCUGCCGUGGGCGCUGGAGAAUUGAGGGGGGCUGCUCCUAGUACGAGAGGACCGGAGUGGACGCAUCACUGGUGUUCGGGUUGUCAUGCCAAUGGCACUGCCCGGUAGCUAAAUGCGGAAGAGAUAAGUGCUGAAAGCAUCUAAGCACGAAACUUGCCCCGAGAUGAGUUCUCCCUGACUCCUUGAGAGUCCUGAAGGAACGUUGAAGACGACGACGUUGAUAGGCCGGGUGUGUAAGCGCAGCGAUGCGUUGAGCUAACCGGUACUAAUGAACCGUGAGGCUUAACCUUACAACGCCGAAG